GACGAACGCUGGCGGCGUGCUUAACACAUGCAAGUCGAACGGUGAAGCUCCAGCUUGCUGGAGUGGAUCAGUGGCGAACGGGUGAGUAACACGUGAGCAACCUGCCCCUGACUCUGGAAUAAGCGCUGGAAACGGCGUCUAAUACUGGAUACGAGAAGGGUCCGCAUGGGCACUUUCUGGAAAGUUUUUCGGUUGGGGAUGGGCUCGCGGCCUAUCAGCUUGUUGGUGAGGUAAUGGCUCACCACGGCGACGACGGGUAGCCGGCCUGAGAGGGCGACCGGCCACACUGGGACUGAGACACGGCCCAGACUCCUACGGGAGGCAGCAGUGGGGAAUAUUGCACAAUGGGCGCAAGCCUGAUGCAGCGACGCCGCGUGCGGGAUGACGGCCUUCGGGUUGUAAACCUCUUUCAGCAGGGAAGAAGCGAAAGUGACGGUACCUGCAGAAGAAGCACCGGCUAACUACGUG
rnacentral:rRNA from 1 species